UACGUAGGGGGCAAGCGUUGUCCGGAAUCAUUGGGCGUAAAGCGUGUGUAGGCGGCCUAGCAAGUCAGUUGUGAAAGCCCCGGGCUCAACCCGGGAAGUGCUUCUGAUACUGCUUGGCUUGAGUACUGGAGAGGAUAGUGGAAUUCCAGGUGUAGUGGUGAAAUACGUAGAUAUCUGGAGGAACACCGGUGGCGAAGGCGGCUAUCUGGCCAUGUACUGACGCUGAGACACGAAAGCGUGGGGAGCAAACAGG
rnacentral:rRNA from 1 species